rnacentral:rRNA from 1 species
GAGUUUGAUCCUGGCUCAGGACGAACGCUGGCGGCACGCUUAACACAUGCAAGUCGAACGAGAGAAGAGAAGCUUGCUUUUCUGAUCUAGUGGCGGACGGGUGAGUAACACGUGAGCAAUCUGCCUUUCAGAGGGGGAUACCGAUUGGAAACGAUCGUUAAUACCGCAUAACAUAAUUGGACCGCAUGAUUUGAUUAUCAAAGAUUUAUCGCUGAAAGAUGAGCUCGCGUCUGAUUAGCUAGUUGGUAAGGUAACGGCUUACCAAGGCGACGAUCAGUAGCCGGACUGAGAGGUUGAUCGGCCACAUUGGGACUGAGACACGGCCCAGACUCCUACGGGAGGCAGCAGUGGGGAAUAUUGCACAAUGGAGGAAACUCUGAUGCAGCGAUGCCGCGUGAGGGAAGAAGGUUUUAGGAUUGUAAACCUCUGUCUUUGGGGACGAAAAAUGACGGUACCCAAGGAGGAAGCUCCGGCUAACUACGUGCCAGCAGCCGCGGUAAUACGUAGGGAGCGAGCGUUGUCCGGAAUUACUGGGUGUAAAGGGAGCGUAGGCGGGAUCGCAAGUCAGAUGUGAAAACUAUGGGCUUAACCCAUAAACUGCAUUUGAAACUGUGGUUCUUGAGUGAAGUAGAGGUAAGCGGAAUUCCUAGUGUAGCGGUGAAAUGCGUAGAUAUUAGGAGGAACAUCAGUGGCGAAGGCGGCUUACUGGGCUUUAACUGACGCUGAGGCUCGAAAGCGUGGGGAGCAAACAGGAUUAGAUACCCUGGUAGUCCACGCCGUAAACGAUGAUUACUAGGUGUGGGGGGACUGACCCCUUCCGUGCCGCAGCAAACGCAAUAAGUAAUCCACCUGGGGAGUACGACCGCAAGGUUGAAACUCAAAGGAAUUGACGGGGGCCCGCACAAGCAGUGGAGUAUGUGGAUUAAUUCGAAGCAACGCGAAGAACCUUACCAGGUCUUGACAUCGUAUGCAUAGCUCAGAGAUGAGUGAAAUCUCUUCGGAGACAUAUAGACAGGUGGUGCAUGGUUGUCGUCAGCUCGUGUCGUGCGAUGUUGGGUUAAGUCCCGCAACGAGCGCAACCCUUACUGUUAGUUGCUACGCAAGAGCACUCUAGCAGGACUGCCGUUGACAAAACGGAGGAAGGUGGGGAUGACGUCAAAUCAUCAUGCCCCUUAUGACCUGGGCCUCACACGUACUACAAUGGCUGUCAACAGAGGGAUGCAAAGCCGCGAGGUGGAGCGAACCCCUAAAAGCAGUCUUAGUUCGGAUUGUAGGCUGCAACCCGCCUACAUGAAGUCGGAAUUGCUAGUAAUCGCAGAUCAGCAUGCUGCGGUGAAUACGUUCCCGGGCCUUGCACACACCGCCCGUCA